rnacentral:lncRNA from 1 species
AUUCUUCACUUGUUUUUAUUGACUUUAUAUAUUCCUUUAAUAAAGAUAUUAGAUAGAUUCUGGUCUCUGUGCAUGGUUAUUGGUGCUCUGCAGCCUGGGUCCUGACACCAACUGGUAUGUAAGCCAAAGACUUUCCCAAACAGAGGUUAAUUCUACACAGCCAUUUAAUCUGGGUCAGGAUGUGGAUGCAAGACGUCGAUUUUCCUGUGGAGUGCCUACACAGGCACCCAAUGAACUGGCUGGGAACUGUGAUAGAGUCCACAAAGAUCGUCUGAGUGAGGAUCAAUCCGAUCCAAGAAAGGAUCCCCCCCCACCUUCUCCCAUGAUAAGUGCUGAAAAGAAACAGGCUAUUUGAUGAGAAUCAAUGCUAGAACAAUCCAGGGCAAAACAAGAAAGUGAAAGCAAGUGUUCCAAUGAGAACAUUGCAAUUACCUCUGCAGGGAGAGGUAUUUGUUUACAUUCCAACCAACUAUGUAUCCAGGUUCUUUCUUCUAAUGCUUCCUGCUCUGCCUUGUUUAUACAGUGAUCAACUUCAGCAGAUUUUAUUGCUUGAUCUGGAAUUUUGGGUCAGAUUAUGCAGGUUUUCACUACAUCUGGUUUUCAUCUGUAUUCUGAGAUGAAGACAAAUGAUCAUACCAGCUGGCUAACUUGACAAUCCAAAAGUGUAAAAGAGAACUUGGAACUAAAUGGAGGCACUCAUUCCAGGAACUACUGAAUUGGUUAGAUGCAAUUUAUUCUGUUCCAUGCUGCUUGAAAAGAGCCCCUACAGAUAUCAUCAUUGUCAUCAUCAUUAUUAUUUAGAUACAGUGGCCAAUGUAAACUGCCACAACCAGAAAAAGAGAAAAUAUAUACAAGUGGGGAAAACACUGUUAGUGUGAUGUUUUUGAACCAGACCUGCUUGUGUGCCUUAACAGCAGCUUCUACAAACAUCAGUGGACAAAAUCUUUAACUCCAUGCCAAACCUGCAGAAGAUGCUGGAUCAGAGUUUUCUUUUUCCUCCUUGAUGGUAACCCUAAACUAGGUCUAUGGCUAAAGUGGGUGCAAAAUAAGGGCAUUUUAAGAACAAUAACAAUUCUGUCCUCCCCUUCCCAAAUUUUUUUUCUUUUGGUCCCCAGAUUUCUAGUCCUAGAGUGAGCCAUUGAUGAUAAUAAAUACCUAGAA